AGGCCUUUAGAUUAGGCAUACCAAAUUUGGUGUUGAUUUGAAGAAAUCUCUAGGAGGAGUUCGUUAAAAUACAACAUAUGGAAAUGACCAAAAUUACACAAAAUUUGCUCAUAAUAUUACAAAUAACCGACUUCCUGUUGGUUUUAGAAUUUUGCUCCAAGAGUCUUUUUUGUAGGUAUUGGUGUGUUACAUAUGUGUGCCAAUUUUCGUGCAUGUACGUGAAACAUAGCUCGAAGGCUGUUGAUUUUCUUCGUAUAGGUGGCGCUGUCGAGCCAUUUUGCCACACCCUCUUCUGAAUCCUAUAUCAGACAAAAAUUUUCACCUGGUUUUACGCGUGUGCAAAGUUUCAUGACUUUUUGAGCAUGUUUAAGCCCUCAAAAAUGCGAUUCAUUUUGGAGAAGCGGAAGAAUAAGAAUAAAUAUAGCUGCAAGCAGCGAUGGCGGGCUCAAGCCACCAAUGCCAUCACCACCCCGGUGGCAUCAGGUAAACUGUGUCCAGCGGGCACAUGCAUUCACAAUAUCCCUCUGGCAGUGAGGUUUUAAAGAAUAUGGCGGUUAAAGGGUUAAUCCGAAUCAUCUAGACUUUAAAAUCACAUUCACAGAACAAUAUACAUAUAUAUUCCUCAAACAUAUAUAUAUAUUUAGUAACACUUUACAAUAAGAUUUCAUUUAUAAACAUUAUGUUAACAUGAACAAUAUUUAUAUAGCAUUAAUUUAUGUCAGUUAAUAUUCCAAACUUAAACAUUAAAACAUUGUUUUAUUGUGAUUUUUUUCCAAGCACAUUUUACCAAUUCCAAACCAUAUCAAUCUUAAUAACUACCAUUAUUUUUUAUUUAAUCAUUUAUAAGUGCUAUACAAUAGUCCAGGAAAGCUGGAAGAGAAAAACUCCUUAUAUUCAUGUGUGCAGAAUCAUUAGGCAUGUUUUCUUUUACAGAUGAAAUGCGCUAAAAAAGAGUUUUAACUCAAACUGUUUUAACUCAAAGUCGAAAAUUAUGAAAUACCCAUGAGAAAUAUCAAACACAAAUGCAAUACAGAAAUGGAUAAGUUAAGACUUGACCAUUGUACAAAAAUGCUGACUGGGUCAUGAGGUCAGAAAAGAAGAAGAAAAAAAAAAACAGGUCAAGAAGAACUGACAAUGACAGAAUGUGAAGAUUAAUUUUUAGUCAAUUCUGCAAGACAGACUUUAAGGAAAGGAGGUGGAAUAAAAAUGAGCUCCUAAAUCUUAAUCCCGGAUUCUGGAAGAUAUAUUCCUCAAACCAUCGGACAAGAGGAGGUGGUGCUGGUCCUUCACGAGUCACUCUAAUCUGUUCAUAAAGCAUAUAUAUAAAGUCUUAAUAUAUAGUAUUUCACAAUACUUCAUGGUAUUCUAAUUAAAUCAUUUUUUUUGGAAUCUUUGAUUUCUCAGAACCUGACACAUUGUAAUUCUGAGACUCCAGGAAAGUGGCAGUUCUGUAAAAUGUUGGCACUGCAGACUAAAUGCUCCCUGAUAGUUUCACACCUAAUUCUUCACUUUAAUUCUUAAUUCUUUUCCAGUUAAGGUGUUAUGUAAAUUAAUUAAAUUAACUGGUUUAGGAUUACAAAUCAACUUGUACUAGUUUUUUUGUCCCUAAAACUGACAGAAAAUGAUGAGGCCUAAGAUAUUUCUUAAAGCUGCAGUAGGUAACUUUUAUAAAAAAAAUAUUUUUUUACAUAUUUGUUAACCUGUCAUUAUGUUCUGACAGUAGUAUAUGAGAUGGAUAAUUUGUGAAAAAAAUCAAGCUCCUCUGGCUCCUCCCAGUGGUCCUAUUGCCAUUUGCAGAAAUGCACCGCUCCCGUUAAGAAACAACCAAUCAAAGCUACGGUCCAUAACUUUUUUUUGUGUUCAAGAUUUACAAAAUGUACAUAAUAAGUGAGUACACCAUGAAUCCAUUUUCCAAACCGUGUUUUCAGCCUGUCCUGAAUCACUAGAGUACACCUAUAAUAAGUGUUUAUAUUCUGACUAUUUUAGAUUGCUUCAGUGAAGUAACCCAGUACCUUUGUGAUUCUUCAUAGACAUAAACAGAGAGAAGUAGUUCCGGCUACAAUGUUCUUCCGCAAGACGCAAGCAGUUCUGUUUAUUAACCGCUAGAGUGUCAAAAGUUACCUACUACAGCUUUAAGCUGUAAUGAUAAAAAAAACAAAAACAAAAAACAACACAAAAUUACUGAUUUUUUUUCUGCUGGUGAUUAAAGAGAUGUUAACUCUGAGAUGUUUCUCCCUGUCUCUCUCUCUCUCUCUCUCUUAAUAAUUUAUUAGUGUUUUGUAAUAAUUUUAUUGACCUAUAAUUCUGGUGAUUAAAGAGAUGAUUAAGUCUCCCUCCCUCUCUCUUUCUCUCUCUCUCUCUCUCUCUCUCUCUCUUUCUGACACCUAUCCCAUCCCUCUCCUCCACACAUUUACACAAACUCAGCACACACACCUAACACACACACACACACACACACAUUACCCACAGUGACAGAGGGACAGAGUGACAUCAGAUGUAUGAUAGUUUUUUAAUUUUCUAUCAUCCAUAUAGUGUUGUAUAGUCAUGAAACUAUGCAUAUUUCCUUCUUCUAUGUGUACCUUUUUUUGAAGUGUUUAGAGGCUGCACUUUAAAAGAAUAAAAGACAUUUACUGGUUCCUUUUUUACUGUUAUUUCAAAAAAUCAUCAUGACAAAACCAUUCAAGCUAUCCAAAUUCAUUCGCAACUGUUCUGUAAGAUAAAUUCUUUAAACAGUGGUAAAAGAGGAUGUGGUGCUGAACCUUCAAGAGUCACUCAAAACUUAUCUGUCCAUAAAGCCUAUAAAUAAUUAUACUUAAUACACAGUAUUUCACAAUACUUCAGCUUGUUAUUCUAAUUAAGUGAGGGUCAUUUUAUCAGUAAAAUACAUAAAAUACAUAUUUUUCUUUGAAAGAUUUCUAUAAAUGAUAUAAAUCAUUCUCGUUUCUACAAUAAUUAUUUAAAAGUAAUCCUAUAUCUCCAUCUGGUGGCCAUUAUUGGUACUAAGAAUUGCAAGCUUGAUUUAUAAGUUAUGAUAGUUUUAAUUUUAUGCUGGCUCCUGAACAUAAUAACGCUAUGAAACUUAGUGUGCUUCCUUCAAAUGAUGACUUCUACGUAUAUAAAAAAUUAUGAAGAGUUGGAAUGAAAAAUGUUAAAGAUAUAGUAAAAUAACUAUUGUAUUUUUUUUAUGUUAUUUUAAUAAAUCGCAAUGGCCACACCAUUUAAGGUAUCCUAAACCCAUUCACAAUUUAACAUCUUCAGUAUAUUGGCAUCAUGCUGAAAAAGUUUGGUGUGAACUACUUGUGUCUUCUUGGAGGAGUAUGAAUUCAUUUACAGGGUGAUUUUAUCAUAAAUUCACAAUAACAUUUCUGAGUUCUGUAUCAAUCAGUGUUGUUGUCUGUUAUUUUUAGUUUUUUUUAUUUUUCAUAGGAAGAUAACUGACCCUUUACUCUCCUUUUUAAUAAAUGUGCUUAUAAACCAAGAACAAGCUAUUUAUAGCUGUAUUUAUAAGCUCCUUACUAAUGACUAUUAAUGUUGGGACAAGACUUUAUAAAGCAUGAACGGACUAUUUACUAAUUAGUGCAGUUAUUAUAAAGUGUUACCAAUGCAUUUACUAAUGUUAACAAAUUAGACAUUAUUUUACAGUGUUAUAAAAUCCUUUAAUGACUUAUAAGCAUUUGUGAAAGUUCUGCUUGCAUUACAGCUUAGUCUUCAUCUGUGAGCUGAACAGUUUUACUGUUACAUCCAUGAGAUUAUGUAAAUUAAGAUAAAUGUCAUGUCACAGGAUGGAAUAGGUCAGUAUCAAAUGAGUUGAAAUUAUUAUUUGCAGCACAAAUAAGUAUUUUUAGAAUUUUGUUUUUAAUUCCUGAAACUGUCAGAAAAGGAUAAGGCCUAAGAGAUUUCUUAAGCUGUAAUGAAAACAGCAAUGUUAGCAACAGCAACAAAAAAUAACAAUUUAAAAUACAUUUUUUUUCUGGUGAUUAAAGAGAUGAUUAAGUCUCUCUCUCUCUCUCUCAUUGUGUCUGCCACUCAGCUCAUGCCCAUCCCCCACUCACACACACACACUCACACACACACAUGCACUCAGUCAGCACACAUACAUUGCUCAAACAGAGGGACAGAGUGAGUUGAGAUGUCUGACAGUUUUUUUUUUAUUUUCUUUUAAUCAUACAGUGUUGUAAGGUCAUGAAACUAUGCAUAUUUCCUCAGAAUGAUUUGAUCUUUGUAUGAAUUUUUUUUUAAGUGUUUGGAAGCUGCAAUUUAAAAAUACAAGACAAUUACUGAUUCCCUUUUUACUGUCAUUUCAAAAAAUCACCACGACAAAACGGUUCAAGCUAACCAAAAUCCGUUCGCAAUUUAAGUUCCUCAAUGUUUUUUCAACAUGUAGACAAAGUUUGGUGAGUAUAGUGAACAUUUCCUCUGAGGAGAAUGCAUUAAAUCAGAGCUCAAUUUAAAUAUUCAAAUCAAAAUAGCCGACUUCCUGUUGGUCGUAGCUGAUGACUGUGAAUUAGAAAGUUGUCCGUCUUGAUAAGAACAAUUUAUGUACCAAGUUUGGUGUCUGUAGCUAAAACUAAACCCCCCACUUUUGACAAAAGGUGGCGCUAUAGCGUGCCUCCUUCACGCCCUUUUAAAAGCUUUUGCCAUUGUCUAGCUAUCACUAAUACUGAUAUGUGUUUUGAGUUUCAUGUAAAUCUGAGGUUGUUGUCUGCC